rnacentral:rRNA from 1 species
GCAAGUCGAGGGGUAACAUUACUUUCGGGUAGAUGACGACCGGCGAACGGGUGCGUAACGCGUAUGCAACCUUCCUUAUACAAAGGGAUAGCCCAUGGAAACGUGGAUUAAUACCUUAUAGUACUAUUUGUCUGCAUAGAUUAAUAGUUAAAACUUCGGUGGUAUAAGAUGGGCAUGCGUAUGAUUAGGUAGUUGGUGAGGUAAAGGCUCACCAAGCCGACGAUCAUUAGGGGUUCUGAGAGGAUUAUC